ensembl:snRNA U6 U6 spliceosomal RNA
GUGCUCAUUUCGGCAGCCCAUAUACUAUGAUUCGAAUGAUACAGAGAAGAUUAGCAUGGCCCCUGUGCAGAAUGACAUGCAAAUUCGUGAAGCGUUCCAUAUUUUA